AUUGAAGGCUGGCGGCAGGCCUAACACAUGCAAGUCGAGCGGUUGAGGUAGCUUGCUACCGAUGCAGCGGCGGACGGGUGAGUAAUACAUGGGAAUCUGCCUGGUAGUGGGGGACAACGUUUCGAAAGGAACGCUAAUACCGCAUACGCCCUACGGGGGAAAGGGGGGGAUCUUCGGACCUCUCGCUAUCAGAUGAGCCCAUGUCGGAUUAGCUAGUUGGUGAGGUAAAGGCCCACCAAGGCGACGAUCCGUAACUGGUCUGAGAGGAUGAUCAGUCACACUGGAACUGAGACACGGUCCAGACUCCUACGGGAGGCAGCAGUGGGGAAUAUUGGACAAUGGGCGCAAGCCUGAUCCGGCCAUGCCGCGUGUGUGAAGAGGGCCUUAGGGUUGUAAAGCACUUUCAGUGGGGAGAAAGGUCAUUCACCUAAUACGUGAGUGAAUUGAUGUUACCCACAGAAGAAGCACCGGCUAACUCCGUGCCAGCAGCCGCCGUAA
rnacentral:rRNA from 1 species